CGAAGGAUCCAAGCGUUAUCCGGUAUUUAUUGGGUUUAAAGGGUGCGUAGGCGGGCUAUUAAGUCAGUGGUGAAAGCCCCAAGCUUAACUUGGGAAUUGCCAUUGAUACUGAUGGUCUUGAGUACACUUGAAGUGGGCGGAAUGUGUCAUGUAGCGGUGAAAUGCUUAGAUAUGACACAGAACACCGAUUGCGAAGGCAGCUCACUAAAUUGUAACUGACGCUGAGGCACGAAAGCGUGGGGAUCAAACAGGAUUAGAUACCCUGGUAGUCCACGCCCUAAACGAUGAUUACUCGAUGUGUGCAAUACACCGUACGCGUCUGAGCGAAAGCAUUAAGUAAUCCACCUGGGGAGUACGACCGCAAGGUUG
rnacentral:rRNA from 1 species